UACGUAGGGACCAAGCGUUGUUCGGAUUCACUGGGCGUAAAGGGUGCGUAGGUGGCCAGGUAAGUUCGGUGUGAAAGCUCGGAGCUUAACUUCGAAAUGUCAUUGAAUACUAUCUGGCUAGAGGGUCGGAGGGGAGACUGGAAUUCUCGGUGUAGCAGUGAAAUGCGUAGAUAUCGAGAGGAACACCAGUGGCGAAGGCGAGUCUCUGGACGACACCUGACACUGAGGCACGAAAGCUAGGGGAGCAAACAGG
rnacentral:rRNA from 1 species